rnacentral:rRNA from 1 species
CACGUAGGGCGCGAGCGUUGUCCGGAAUUAUUGGGCGUAAAGAGCUCGUAGGCGGCCUGUUGCGUCCGCUGUGAAAGCCCGGGGCUUAACCCCGGGUCGGCAGUGGAUACGGGCAGGCUAGAGGUAGGUAGGGGAGAAUGGAAUUCCCGGUGUAGCGGUGAAAUGCGCAGAUAUCGGGAGGAACACCGGUGGCGAAGGCGGUUCUCUGGGACGGUACUGACGCUGAGACGCGAAAGCGUGGGGAGCAAACGGG